UACAGGGGGGCAAGCGUUGUUCGGAAUUACUGGGCGUAAAGGGCCAGUAGGCGGCUAACUAAGUCCGACGUGAAAUCCCCAGGCUUAACCUGGGAACUGCGUCGGAUACUGGUUGGCUUGAAUUCGGGAGAGGGAUGCAGAAUUCCAGGUGUAGCGGUGAAAUGCGUAGAUAUCUGGAGGAAUACCGGUGGCGAAGGCGGCAUCCUGGACCCGACAUUGACCGCUGAACGGC
rnacentral:rRNA from 1 species